rnacentral:rRNA from 1 species
AUUGAACGCUGGCGGAAUGCUUUACACAUGCAAGUCGAGCGGCAGCGCGGGGCAACCUGGCGGCGAGCGGCGAACGGGUGAGUAAUGCACCGGAACGUACCCCGUCGUGGGGGAUAACUACCCGAAAGGGUAGCUAAUACCGCAUACGACCUGAGGGUGAAAGCGGGGGACCGAAAGGCCUCGCGCGAUGGGAGCGGCCGAUGCCGGAUUAGCUAGUUGGUAGGGUAAAGGCCUACCAAGGCGACGAUCCGUAGCUGGUCUGAGAGGACGACCAGCCACACUGGAACUGAGACACGGUCCAGACUCCUACGGGAGGCAGCAGUGGGGAAUUUUGGACAAUGGGCGAAAGCCUGAUCCAGCCAUUCCGCGUGAGUGAAGAAGGCCUCGGUUGUAAG